GAUGAACGCUGGCGGCGUGCCUAAUACAUGCAAGUCGAGCGCACGGACGAGAUGCUUGUAUUUCUGAUAUUAGCGGCGGACGGGUGAGUAACACGUGGAUAACCUACCUAUGAGACUGGGAUAACUUCGGGAAACCAGUGCUAAUACCGCAUAAUAUUUUGAAACACAUGGUUCAAGAGUGAAAGAUGCUCUUGCUGUAACCUAUAGAUGGAUCCGCGCUGCAUAAGCAAGUUGGUAAGGAAACGGCUUCCAAAGGCAACGAUGCAUAGCCGACCUGAGAGGGGGACCGGCCACACGGGAACUGAAACACGCUCCAGACUCCUAGGGAAGGCACAAUAAGGGAAUCUUCCGCAAGGGGCGAAGUCCGAACGGGGCAACGCGGGUUGGGGGAUGAAGGUCUCCGGUUCGAAAAACUCGUUUAUUAGGGAAGAACAUAUUGGUAGGGAACUGUGCACAUCGUGACGGUACCUAAUCAGAAAGCCACGGCUAACUACGUG
rnacentral:rRNA from 1 species